rnacentral:misc_RNA from 1 species
AGUAAAAUUACAUUUUACAAUUUGACUCUUUGUUUUUACACAUGCUUCAAAUUUACUGUAUUAUUUACAGUGAACUAAAAAUAUUUUAGAUCAUUUGUUAAGUGGGAAAUAGGAUUAAAAUAACAGCAAACAAUUUUUUUAAAAACACAGUAAAAAGAAAUACAAAGCAAUUUUUUGUACAUUGUAUCAAAUACGUGUGCAAGGUUGGUUGUUGUACAUCUGUAUUGAUAUUGAAUUGUUAGUUUUGGUUUCAUGUGCAUUUCAAAGGUCUGUGAUUGUAUUACUAUUUCAUACAGUACAUUGUUAUAUCAAAACAUUCAGUAUGGUUCAUUGGAUUGAUCAAUCAUUUGUUCACUAUUCUCAAAUUGAAAUGGCAAAACUGAAUAAGAGUUUGUUCAAAAUAAGAAAAUUACAUCAUCAUUUUGUUUUUUUGUUAAAUUAUCUUCAAUAUUGUAAUGUAUAGGUACAUUUAUGUGUUUCAUAAAAUGAUGUUGAAUUUUUUUCUUUUUAAAUCUUACCACAAUUAACAAACUUAUCUCUUUACAAACAAAAUUGUAGAAUGUUUAUUGUUUUAUCAUGGCAAAAUUAAUAUUGUUAAAUGUUUUGAAUAUUGACGUGAGAAGAUGUAAAUUUGUGUACCUCUGACACGUUUUUUGCAGACUGCAUCAUUGUUAUAUAGUGAACAGCUUAUAGUAACAGCGUUAUGCGAUCAAAUUGUUGUAUAUACAAUAUAAAACAUCCUUAUGGAAUUG